GGUCGCCGUGGACGAUGAGGAGCGGCGUCGGGGCGAUCUCCGGGACCGCCCGCACCGGGGAGAGCGGGACCGGGUCCCAGUCCCGGUGGUGGAUGC
rnacentral:tRNA from 1 species